AAGAACAGCUAGGGGUGCCCACACGGGCUGAGAAUAUACCCUUUGAACCUGAUCCGGUCAGCACUGGCGUAGGAAAGCAUGUCUCUUCAACU
rnacentral:ncRNA from 2 species